UUGUGCCUUUAAUUGCUGUAGAUUCAUCAGCCUCUAGUUGUAAUGUUCAACCCUGCAGAUUCAUAUUUAAAGAAGCACCAUCUGGGUAGGUGGGUGGGUGGCUUGGGCUGGAGUUCCUUUGCUACAAGCUUGGAAAUUUCAUAAGAUUGAUCAGAAAACCCCCCUCCAGGAGCCGGAGAAAACAGGUCGAUUUGAGAACAAUUUGUGCUACAUCCAUUCUCCAGGAGGACUACAGUUCCCAGCAUGACCUGGGUGGACUACAGAUCUUUAUAUGUUCUUCUACAGUAGUGGAACCUGGGAGAACUUCAGUUCCUAGCAUUUUCUUCUAGAGGACUUGAACUUGGAGACCCGCAGAUCUCCACAUGUCCUUCUACAGUGGUGUGAACUGGAUGACUACAACCCCUAUCAUUCUACAGGGGUUUGGGACCAGGGUGUCUACAGAUCCUACAAUGUUCUACAGGACUAGAACCUGGGAAACUGCAAACUCCAACAUGUUCUUCCACAGGGCUGUGACCUUGGUGACUACAGCCCUCAUCAUCUUGUACAGAACUUAAAACAUGAUAACUACAGAUGCCAGCAUGCCCUCUUGUAGGGUUGUAACCUUAGUGGCUACAGAUUCUAUCAUGUUUUCCUACAGGACCAGAACAUGGGGUACUACAACUCCCAAGCAGGAAUGACAGAUUUUUAUUCCACAGUAGUGAACUUUUCUAUUUGCUUUUAAUGCAGUAGCCUAUAGGGUUAACUAGCUUAUCAUUCAUGAUCCAAAUAUAGGAUGCUAUUUGCAAAAUGUUAUGAUAUUACUGGCUGGAUUAGCAUAUCUGAUGGUCACUAAAGAUGUCAUUAAGGGAUUUACCAGUCCCUCAUGUUGUUUGUUGUCUUAUUCACAGACCUUCACUGGCAUUUAUUCAGUUCUAGCCCAAAAAUACAGCACAUAGGUUAAAUGGUGCAUCCAAUACAGAGCCUGAUAAGUUACAAUACAGUUCUCCACAGUGUAAUACACAGAUAUCAGGGAAUGGGGACGCAACAAGUGAUCUCUAAACAUUGCCUGUAGGUGCUUAGUGAUGGAAUGAAGAUGCAGUUAGGAAAUGAGUAGCUGACAAGAUUGUUCUAGUCUCCAAGUAACUAGAUAUCCAGAAUGCACAUAUAAUUGUCAUAUAGACCUGGGAGAUGUUUAAAUGAAGAAAAGAACCCAGUAGAUGGGGAGAUGAUAAAUUUGUGUGAAAUGUUUACCAGUGGUCUCUAACCUGUGGCUCCUGGGCUGGUUCAAAACUUCAACUCCCAUCAUACAUGACAUUGCAGCUAGGAGUUGGGGUUGUGUAACAGUUGGAGAACAAUAGGAUGGAGAUUACUGAUGAUUGAAAUGGCGUAAUAUAGCUGCUUUGGUUCAGUCAGAACUAUGUUUUGCUGGUUGUGAUGCAUUAUUGAAGUUUACUAUAGGUUGUUAGUCAUGUCAGACUGCUACAAGACCUUCUCUGCAGAGGAAAUGGCCUGAUAUUCUAGUUUUGUUUGCAUCCUUCAUUUUUGUUGUCUAUUUAUUUCUGUGUAAAAUAUUUGGAGUCAUUUUGUUUUGUUGUCAGAUCUAUAGAACCUCUUAAUCAGGAAACUGACAGACAAAAACUAUAUGUAUCCAAAUAGAAGAUGUCAGGUGAUAGUGCUGUAGCGAUGGGUAAUAGAUCUGCCCGCUCAUGGGAGUGUUGAAUAUUGGCUGAAUAUUAAAGGUAUACUGCAGUCAUAAUGUAAACACUGUAUUUUUUCUAGUGCAAAACCUGUGUGUGUGUGUUCGGGGGGGUGUUUGGGCCUAUGGAAUAAGUACUCAAAUAGCGUCACAGAAUAAAACCCUGUGUCAUGCUCCACCCCUUUAUGCCUUACAUUUGCUUAAACGCAAUGUUUUGUUUGGUUGUUGGUUUCUUUCCUGAAUUUAAAUGAAUUUAUUGGGGUAUUCCGUCCAAAGACAUUUUAUCCCCUUUCCAAAGGAUAAGGGAUAAGAUGUCUGAUCGUGGGGGGCCCACUGCUGGGACUCCCAUGAUUUCCAAUCAGCACUCGCGUUCUAUGCAGGGCUGCUGCUCCAGUCUUGGAAACCUGUGUGUUUCCUCAACUGGAGACGUGAUGUCACGCCACUCCCCCUUGUGAUGUCACACCACGCCCCCUCCAUUCAUGUCUAUGGGAGGGGGCAUGACGACUGUCACACCCCCUCCCAUAAACAUGGAUGGAGGGGGCAUGGCGUGACGUCACGAGGGGGCGUGACAUGAUGUCACAUCUCCAAUAGGGGAUAAGAUGUCAUGUCUCCAGUAAGGGAUAAGAUGUCUAGCAGUGGAGUACCCCUUUAAAUUACUUUAUCUCAGAAGUGGUCAUUGCCCUAUAACAAGACAUGUCCAUUAUGGAGUAUUUGUUUUGGCUUUGUGGCCAUGUAGUCUAUACAUUAAUGUAUUUAUAAGAAGGGAGAACAAUUGAGUCACAGGUAUUAAAAUGCUAUCCUUUUUAUACAGAACAAUUGUUCUGAAGAUGUAGGUAGGGUCUCUCUUCUCCUGAUCAUUGAACUCUCUCAUUCCAAAACCCUACCUUUUAUUGUUUGUAAAAGUUCAUGAGACGGAAGUCCCCUGAAGUUUGCUCUAUGCAUUGACCCUUUGGCAGCCUGAAUACAGCAACAUCUAGACCUCAAGGGGAUAAUGGUCCAUGGCAGAGAGAUUAUAAAUUUCACUUUGUGGACAGUAUCCUUCUCACUGUCUGAAACCUUCUUACUAACUCUUCCUAUUCUGCAUGCUGCUCAUCAGUCCUGAGGCCCAUUAAAUAUUGGAAAAAAUUAAUACAACUGAAACAGAAACUGCUCUUCUCAUUAUCUCUCUUCCUUGUCACAAUUACUCAAAUAGCAUUAUACAUUUUAGUGGACGGAUUCCCUCUUGGCUGAGUUUCCCAUAGCAACCAAUCACAGCACAGCUUUUCCAGAGCCAAAUUUGAACUUUGCUUACAUAGUGGGACAUGCUGGCAACAUCAAAGCAAGGAAAAGUGUUCUGAGUCACUUUUCCCUGUAGAGGCUGUCGACUGGCCACUACUACAUAAACAUGUUAGAGGAAUGGCUUAUGCUACAGAUAGAGGAAGAUCUGCUAAGCAUAGUCUGUCAGUAGGAUGGUGGACCUCCACAUUUCCAUUUACGAAUACCUGAAUGAAACUCUAGCAGAACAUUGGCUUGGCCAUAUCAGAAACAACAAUUCAACAAUUUUCGCUGGCCUCCACGAUCACCAAAUCUAUCAUCCUGCAACUUCAUUCUCUGGGGCUAAAUUUAGGACUUAGUGUAUCUUGCCCUCGCUUCCCCCUCAGCCACAGGAUCUAAAAAAUCUGAGACAACAAAUCAUUAAUACAGUGGAGUCCAUGGAGGAGAAUUAUGGAAACCUGUCCAGAGGAAAAGUUGACCAGUUCCCCAUAGCAACCAGUCAGAUUGCUUCUUAAUUUUUUUUUUUUUAAAGACGUCUUAAACAUAAGAGAAGCUAUCUGAUUGGUUGCUAUGGGCAACUGGUCAACUUUUCCUCUGGACACGUUUUCAUAAUUCUCCCCCCGUAUCUGAAGAUAUACUGGCACCGUCUUGAUAGAACUGGGCCACCACCUAGACAUCUGCCGUGUCACCAAUGGAAAUUCCCUUUAAACAUUUGUAGUGUAUAGAUAAAACUUGGAUAGAGAGUUUUUUUUUUUUUUCAUGUUAGAACAUUUCUGUUAUGUUCUCUCGGUUAUGAAUACUAGGGUUAUAUUUUUUCACAUUUAUUUGUACUUCUUCUAAAAGUGUGAAAUCCUGUUUUACUGGUAUUUUACCUCAGAUCUUGUUCAUCGAAUCAACAAUAGUCUUUCCUCUAGUUUUCAGGUGUGAGAUUGUUCUUAAACUUGUAUAUUUUUGGAGAAUGCCUAGACAUCUUGGAAGGAAAUAAGGGACCUGACCUCUACAAUGGUACAUUAUGAUGUUACCUUUAAUCCUCUACAUUACACAUUGGCACAUUGACUUAAAUUGAUUGUUACUCAUGUGCCAAAAUGUUGGGGUAUUUUUGUACAUCAAGGAAAUGCCCCUUUUGUUGUACGCAACAGAAAGUAUCUAAAAGUGUUAAAAACUUUUUGUAAAUCUGGGAUUUUACCUUUAUUUUCUUGCAAGAAUGCUAAAACCGGGUACUCUAGAACCUUUAACAGUAUCACAUAUCUCCACAUCGGGCAUAGGUGAACUCAGCCUAGAUCUCGACACAACUGAUGACAAGUUGUCAUCAGUUGUAUGUCAUGCACUGUCCAUUGUUUCUGCAUGGUGGAAAGGGCAACACAGCAAGGAUUAUGAACUGUUCCUAUUCAAAUGAAUGGGAUCAGUUCUAGAAUCAGUUUCCCUCCAGUGCACACCAGAGGGAAACUAUGCCAGACACCUAAUAUAUGUGAACCCAUCCUUAAUAGUAAGAUAAACCAGUUUGUUCUCAUAUGGCUAUGUCGGUAUUCUGAUUGAUUGGAACUUACCUAUUAUCAUAUAAACCUUGCAUCAUCAUAUAAACACAUGACAAGAGAUUCCCCCUUCAAUCUCCUCACUAACAGUGCUCUACUUUUGUGUCUGUCAGUUUUUGUUCAAGUUUCCAUCUCUCUUUCUUUUUUUUUUUAUGCUGGAAGUGCUUAGCUCAUAAUGAUCAAAUAUAAUAUCAAUUUCAAACGAAGAACUACAGCCAUGGCACUGGGUAAAUUUUGUAGUUAAA